rnacentral:rRNA from 1 species
UACGUAGGGUGCGAGCGUUGUCCGGAAUUACUGGGCGUAAAGGGCUCGUAGGUGGCCAACUAAGUCAGACGUGAAAUCCCUCAGCUUAACUGGGGAACUGCGUCUGAUACUGGAUGGCUUGAGUUUGGGAGAGGGAUGCGGAAUUCCAGGUGUAGCGGUGAAAUGCGUAGAUAUCUGGAGGAACACCGGUGGCGAAGGCGGCAUCCUGGACCAACACUGACACUGAUGAGCGAAAGCCAGGGGAGCAAACGGG